GAUGAACGCUGCCAGAAUGCUUAACACAUGCAAGUCAACUGUGGCGGACGGGUGAGUAACGCGUAAAGAACUUGCCUCACAGUUAGGGACAACAUUUGGAAACGAAUGCUAAUACCUGAUACUGUGAGAGAGCUUUGCGUCCAAUUAGCUAGUUGGAGAGGUAACGGCUCACCAAGGCGAUGAUGGGUAGCCGGCCUGAGAGGGUGAUCGGCCACAAGGGGACGGAGACACGGCCCUUACUCCUACGGGAGGCAGCAGUGGGGAAUAGAGGACAAUGGACCAAAGUCUGAGCCAGCAAUUCUGUGUGCACGAUUAAGUUUUCGGAAGGUAAAGUGCUUUCAGUUGGGAAGCGGUACCAACAGAAGAAGUGACGGCUAAAUACGUGCCAGCCGCCGCGGUAAUAC
rnacentral:rRNA from 1 species